UAUAUAAUAUAUAUAUAUAUAUAUAUAUGUACUUGUGCAUAUAAAAAAAAAAAAUAGUCUUAUCUGUGUAUGCACGCUAUUGGACGCGUGCGGUUUACGUACACAUAAAUUAAUUAAGAGCGGAAGUAUAGAUGAACUAGGUUUUGACACGUUUUUUGCAAAAAUAGGCUGCGGAACGUUGUUGCGACAAGUGCGUCGAGUAUUAUCAUUAUUUUUUAUCCUUCUUAAAGUUACUAGAAUAUCUGAUGGUUCGCGUGUGGUUGAACACACUCCUUUGCUUCGAGAAUGAGUGUUGGUGCCAUUCAACAAAAAAGUCUUACCGAAUAUCUCCGCAUUUUCUUAAUUUAAAGUAAUCAUUAGGUGAAAAAAUUUAGAGUAUUAUAUAAUUGGAGUAUUAUAUACAUUUUUUUUUUUAUUUUUAGCUGAAGCACUCGAAGACUAAAAGUUCGUCAGUUCAUUAUCGUUGUCAAUUGCAUUUUUAUAUAUUUUUUUUUAUUUCCUUAUAUAUGUGUUUAGAUGUAAUUGCGAGAGAUGAUGGAAUCUUUGUUUCCGUUCAGGCGCAUGCGAUGCAUUUUAUUAAGUUGAUAGGCGAGAGAGAUCUCUGGUGCGACGAGGAAAAUGCGGAUCUUUUCAGGAGGUUGUACGUUUCGCUCGGUGAUGAUAAACGACGGUUGUAACGGUAACGAAGAUACUCGUUCUUAUAUCCACGACGAGAAGGAUCCGCGUGAGAAGGAUUGCACAUCUUCCAAGCUGAUAAAAAAAUCGAAGCACGCGUUGGCACAGUUGGAAACGAACAGGAGAAAGGAAAAAUCUUACACGUGCAUGUGUAUUGCGUCUCGCAAAUAUGUUUUCUUUUUUUUUAUCUUUUUUUUUUUUAACCAGAAAAGCUAAACAACCAAACAACAACGUGUGAGCAACAAUAAGAAUGCAAAUCGCUGAGGACAAUAUUACUGCCAAAACAACUUGACUAUGAAUUAAUUAAUUUCUAAGGAAGUGAUGCGUGUGUGCGAAGGACCUCGUCUAUAUAGGACAUCCUAUAGUUUGGGACGACGAACUUCCAAUGCAGCAAUUUUAAUCGUGUGUGUUCUGGUAAAACUCUUUACCGAGAUACAUUAGUGCAAUGUACAGAUUAUUGAUAGACAACCAAGGAGAUGUUAUAGAAAUGAAGGGUCGAGAUGGAAAAGCGACAGAAAGUUGUUCGAAGCGGCAGAGAACUUAGUGCCGAUCCGGCGUGCUAGUUCCUGUGUUUUUAUCAUUGCUAUAUUUGUUAUUAUCAAAAUUCACCUCAUCAUCUCAUGACACAAAUUGUACGUUUUUUUCUUCUUUCGCUCUCGAUUCGGGUCUAACUGUCGCUGUCGAUCUUUGUCUCCAUUUUAGUGAUUACUUUAUAAGUCGAAGAAGAGAAGAGGAAAAAAAAAGAAAAAAAAAACGUUCGCGCGAUGAAAACCGAACUACGUUGUUGUGUUCGUCAUGAAGAUUUUUUUGCACAACGCGGCAUUUGGAGAUGUAUAUCACAGUUCUCUCUCUCUUUCUUCUAUUUUCUCUCUCCUUCUCUCUCUUUCUCAAUCCUCAGAGUGAGCUAUUCAUUUCUACCUCUUUUAAUCUCUCACUUUGUCUCUUUUUCCUCUAUGUAUUUCUCUCUCCUUACUUUUGCUCGUGUUUUCCCCUCUCCUUCUCGCGCUUGCGAGUGAUCGACCGGUUUUGAGCAGCACUUUCGUCUUUCAUGGUCGCGCGUCGUGCGUACGAAGAAAACUGGUGCUCUCGAUGCUGUGCGAGCGAGCGCCAAACGGAUUCACGCGAUAUAUGCGUUGAUAUUCGUAAAUUGUAUAUAAUAGCGUAUAAGCAAAGUAUUAAGAAAAGAAAAAAACAAGCGUUAACGUACUCUCCUCGUUCUCCCACAUAAUUUCCUUCGGUAUCUGAUGUACUUACAAAAAAGGGGGGAGAGGAGAUAUGCUGAGAGAAAACGCUUGUGUGUAUAUGUGCAUAUAUAUAUAUAUAUGUAUAUAUGUGUAUAUAUGUAUAUAUAUAUGUAUAUAUGUACGGCGACAAUUACAGCUGUGAUGUAAUUACCGGAGGUGGAGGCGUAAGAGCAGAGAGACUUUUUGCUUUGGAUGUAAAGUUGAAAACGCUCGUGCACACACAUCCUGAAAGAGGAAGAAAGAGCGAGGGAAUAUAUGCAAAGCCUGUGCAUUGUCGAACAAAUUAUCGCGUAAGAACACAUUCAUCAUUUGUCUAGAACAUAAGAACUAUAAUUUUAGGGAGAGAAAUAAGUGACGUUUGUUUCUUCGUAAAGACACGUAGCAGGCGUAAAGAAAAUCCACCGCUAGGUACAUCCGAAUAAAAAGAACGAGAGAUUUGUCAUUUUAGAGUUUUAUAUUUCCAUCGGCACUUGACUACCUUUUGGGCGUAUUAUCAUCGCGCAAGUACUUUACUAAUCCUGUGAGAAACAAGAAAAACCGUUAACACAAUGUAUAAUUAUGAUGUAAAUUACAUGUUUAAGCACAUAUUAUCAA